rnacentral:rRNA from 1 species
CAGCCGCCACGGUAAUACGUAGGGUGCAAGCGUUAAUCGGAAUUACUGGGCGUAAAGCGUGCGCAGGCGGUUCGUUAAGACAGAUGUGAAAUCCCCGGGCUUAACCUGGGAACUGCAUUUGUGACUGGCGGGCUAGAGUAUGGCAGAGGGGGGUAGAAUUCCACGUGUAGCAGUGAAAUGCGUAGAGAUGUGGAGGAAUACCGAUGGCGAAGGCAGCCCCCUGGGCCAAUACUGACGCUCAUGCACGAAAGCGUGGGGAGCAAACGGGAUUAGAUACCCCAGUAGUCCCUGUCUCUUAUAA